UACGUAGGGGCGAGCGUUGUCCGGAAUUAUUGGGCGUAAAGAGCUCGUAGGCGGCUCAGCAAGUCGGCUGUGAAAUCCCGAGGCUCAACCUCGGAACUGCAGUCGAUACUGCUGUGGCUAGAGUCUGGUAGAGGAGAGUGGAAUUCCCGGUGUAGCGGUGAAAUGCGCAGAUAUCGGGAGGAACACCAGUAGCGAAGGCGGCUCUCUGGGCCAGUACUGACGCUGAGGAGCGAAAGCGUGGGGAGCAAACAGA
rnacentral:rRNA from 1 species